UAGGGAAGUCUUCCACAAUGGGCGAAAGCCUGAUGGAGCAACGCCGCGUGUGUGAUGAAGGGUUUCGGCUCGUAAAACACUGUUGUAAGAGAAGAAUGACAUUGAGAGUAACUGCUCAAUGUGUGACGGUAUCUUACCAGAAAGGAACGGCUAAAUACGUGCCAA
rnacentral:rRNA from 1 species